GUAAUAUACAAUAUAAAUGAUGUGCAUACAGUCUAAUCUCAACAGUUUUCCUUAAUUGAAAAACCAUUUACUAAAGCCUAAAGGUAACUGAAUACUAUACUAUUUCUACGUGUUGCAGAAGCGAUAACGUGCAGUCUUAUAGUCAAUUUAAGCUUAAUAUUGGUGAGUCAUCGAAAACACUCGAAAAAAUCUUCUACGAAGUACAUUCAUAUAUGUUGGUC